GACGAACGCUGGCGGCGUGCUUAACACAUGCAAGUCGAACGGAAAGGCCUGCUUUCCCUUGUGGAUUGCGGGUACUCGAGUGGCGAACGGGUGAGUAACACGUGAGUGAUCUGCCCCCAACUUGGGUAUAAGCCUGGGAAACUGGGUCUAAUUCCCGAUAGGACUGCAGGGUGGUGCCUGUGGUGGAAAACGAUUUUCUAGUGGUUGGGGAUGAGCUCGCGGCCUAUCAGCUUGUUGGUGGGGUAAUGGCCUACCAAGGCGGCGACGGGUAGCCGGCCUGGGAGGGUGGACGGCCACAUUGGGACUGAGAUACGGCCCAGACUCCUACGGGAGGCAGCAGUGGGGAAUAUUGCACAAUGGGCGGAAGCCUGAUGCAGCGACGCCGCGUGGGGGAUGACGGCCUUCGGGUUGUAAACUCCUUUCGACCGCGAGGAAGCCACCUGGUUGGAAGGGUGGUGACGGUAGUGGGAGAAGAAGCACCGGCUAACUACG
rnacentral:rRNA from 1 species